rnacentral:rRNA from 1 species
UACGAAGGGUGCAAGCGUUACUCGGAAUUACUGGGCGUAAAGCGUGCGUAGGUGGUUUGUUAAGUCCGAUGUGAAAGCCCUGGGCUCAACCUGGGAAUGGCAUUGGAUACUGGCAGGCUAGAGUGCGGUAGAGGGCAGUGGAAUUCCCGGUGUAGCAGUGAAAUGCGUAGAGAUCGGGAGGAACAUCUGUGGCGAAGGCGGGUCUCUGGGCAGUAACUGACGCUGAGGAGCGAAAGCGUGGGGAGCGAACAGG